GCCCGAUGAUGAGACCAAGGCGAAUACGAGCUUACUGAAUGAGCGCUGGGUUCUCCUUGCCCUAACUGACAGGUAAUCUUGGCAGUGCAGGGGAGGAUUCCUGCUCUGCUGUAAGGGCCUGCCUACAGUGACUUAGCCUGAUCCAAAUUGUUCCUCUGGAGUCACAGAGGUGUAAUGCUGGGAUGGGGCUAACAGUGUGCAUCAGUGGUUGUGUGCGUGAAUGUGUGUAUGUUUGUUUGUUAGAGGCAAGGAGUUCAACCAGCUUGCUUCGCUGUUCAGUCAGCCAUGAGUUGCUUCUUUGGUAAUCUGAGGGCA